GACGAACGCUGGCGGCGUGCUUAACACAUGCAAGUCGAGCGAUGAAACACCUUCGGGUGCGGAUUAGCGGCGAACGGGUGAGGAACACGUGAGGAAUCUGCCUUCCACUCUGGGAUAACUCCGGGAAACCGGGGCUAAUACCGGAUACUUUCAACUGGCGGCAUCGCCGGUUGAAGAAAGUUUUUCGGUGGAAGAUGACCUCGCGGCCUAUCAGCUUGUUGGUGAGGUAAAGGCUCACCAAGGCGACGACGGGUAGCCGGCCUGGGAGGGCGACCGGCCACACUGGGACUGAGACACGGCCCAGACUCCUACGGGAGGCAGCAGUGGGGAAUAUUGGGCAAUGGAGGAAACUCUGACCCAGCGACGCCGCGUGAGGGAUGAAGGCCUUCGGGUUGUAAACCUCUUUCAGCAGGGAAUAAGCGAAAGUGAAGGUACCUGCAGAAGAAGCACCGGCUAGCUAUGUGCCAGCAGCCGCCGCCG
rnacentral:rRNA from 1 species